CAAAUCACCCUUCUACACCUUCAAAUAAUUGUAUAUUGAAUUAGCCAGAUGAUAAUUAUAUAUUGAAUUAGUCAAAUCAUUCGAAGCAUGAACAUAAUCGCCUUUGUUCAGGUGAGGGAUAGGGUCACAAAGCAAUGUACAACGACUCAGAAAGUUGAAACAAGAAGGAUAACUAUAACCAAUAUUUUACAUAUACCAACAUUCCAAAGUCCAGAAAGACACUCUAUAUAGUGUCAAUAGAGUUGAGGGUAAAAGGAAAAACAGUACAAUUAUCCACAAACAGCAACUAGAUAUCAACUUAGAGCCCCCACAACUUGGAACAUUAGUGGUGCUCA